UGAGUAACGCGUAGGUAACCUGCCUUGUAGCGGGGGAUAACUAUUGGAAACGAUAGCUAAUACCGCAUAACAAUGGAUGACACAUGUCAUUUAUUUGAAAGGGGCAAUUGCUCCACUACAAGAUGGACCUGCGUUGUAUUAGCUAGUAGGUGAGGUAACGGCUCACCUAGGCGACGAUACAUAGCCGACCUGAGAGGGUGAUCGGCCACACUGGGACUGAGACACGGCCCAGACUCCUACGGGAGGCAGCAGUAGGGAAUCUUCGGCAAUGGGGGCAACCCUGACCGAGCAACGCCGCGUGAGUGAAGAAGGUUUUCGGAUCGUAAAGCUCUGUUGUAAGUCAAGAACGAGUGUGAGAGUGGAAAGUUCACACUGUGACGGUAGCUUACCAGAAAGGGACGGCUAACUACGUGCCAGCAGCCGCGGUAAUACGUAGGUCCCGAGCGUUGUCCGGAUUUAUUGGGCGUAAAGCGAGCGCAGGCGGUUUGAUAAGUCUGAAGUUAAAGGCUGUGGCUCAACCAUAGUUCGCUUUGGAAACUGUCAAACUUGAGUGCAGAAGGGGAGAGUGGAAUUCCAUGUGUAGCGGUGAAAUGCGUAGAUAUAUGGAGGAACACCGGUGGCGAAAGCGGCUCUCUGGUCUGUAACUGACGCUGAGGCUCGAAAGCGUGGGGAGCGAACAGGAUUAGAUACCCUGGUAGUCCACGCCGUAAACGAUGAGUGCUAGGUGUUGGAUCCUUUCCGGGAUUCAGUGCCGCAGCUAACGCAUUAAGCACUCCGCCUGGGGAGUACGACCGCAAGGUUGAAACUCAAAGGAAUUGACGGGGGCCCGCAC
rnacentral:rRNA from 1 species